rnacentral:rRNA from 1 species
CCUUGACCUCAAAUCGGGUGAGACUACCCGCUGAACUUAAGCAUAUCAAUAAGCGGAGGAAAAGAAACUAACAAGGAUUCCCCUAGUAACUGCGAGUGAAGCGGGAAAAGCUCAAAUUUAAAAUCUGGUGGCCCUUGGCCAU